UAAAAGAUAGACUAAGUUUAAGUUAUUAGAUUCAUAAUCUAAAGAUAUAAUAUUUUUUUCUUUUAA
rnacentral:tRNA from 1 species